rnacentral:tRNA from 1 species
GGAGAGGUGCAGGAGCGGUUUAACUGGCAUGCUUGGAAAGCGUGUGUGUUCGCAAGAGCACCGAGGGUUCGAAUCCCUCCCUCUCCG